rnacentral:lncRNA from 10 species
GAGCCACCAUGCCCAGCCUAUCAAAGGUAACUUAUUUUCACAUUUGUUACCCACAGUUUUGAGGAACAGUAGGGAACAGGAAAGAUACAGCCUCGUUUGCAUGGAGUCUGUGACAUUCUGAGGGGGAAGUUAGAUGUUCUAAUGGGGAGCACAGCCCAGAUGAAAAUGACAGCCCAGAUGAGCUGCUAUUUCUUUCACCUUGCCCAGCCCACCAGACUUCUACCAUUGCUAUUGCUGAGAGAGAGCCGUGCACCCUUGUUACACAUUGAGUUGUGUUCCCCAAAAAGACCCAUUGAAGUCCUAACCCCCACUGCCUUGUUUAUUUGGAAAUAGGGUCUCUGCAGCUACAAUUAUUUAAGAUGAGGUCAUAUAAGGAGUAAGGUGAGCUCUUAAUCUGAUCCGACUGGUGUCUUUUUAAGAGGCAGGGAGAAAGACACAUGGGCAGGAGAAUACCACAUGGAGACACAGACACACGAGGGGAGGAUGCCUGCUGACCAUGGAGGCAGAAGUGGGACUGACGCAUCGAUCAGCUGAGGGAUGCCAAGCACUGCCAGCAAACACCAGAGGCUUGAUGGGGGCGAGUAUUCUCCUGUGCAGGUAUCAGAGGGAGCCUGGCCUUGCAGAUACCUUGAUUCCUGACUUCUGGCCUCUAAAAUGUCUCUACCUCUAUGUCCAUCAUUCAAUAAAUAUUUAGUCAAUCCUAAUGUGUGCCAGGCAGCAUUCUUGCUGGGAACACAGCAUUAAACAAAACAGAACAAAACAGACUAAGUUCCUCUUCUCAUGAAGCAGGGGCACAGAUCAUGGAAACCACUAUCAGAACUUGGGAUUUCAUUUAUGUCCAAUGUGAGUCAGGCAUCUCUCCUGGUGGCUGUCUUCCAUGUGGUGACUUAUGUAUCCAGGAUCCUUCUACUGUGUUUCUCCUCCAUUGCGAAGUCCUUCACUUCCAGCACCUGAGACAUUUUUUGGGUAUAUCUACAAGUGGCAUAUAUCACUUCUGCCCACAUUCACCUGGGUAGAACUCAAUCACAUUGUUUCACCUAACUGCAAGUGAGGCUGUGGAAUAUAGUCUCCCUAUGUGCCCAAGCAGAAGAAACAGGAUUGUGUGACUCUACAAUGUGUGAUUGCUCCUGGUGAAUCAAAAGGAUAAAGCUGCUGAUUCUGCAAUUUGAUAACCCAACCAUGCUGACCUCAAAGUGUAGUCAAUCCAUGAAGUUCCUCCCACCACAGCUCAUCCUGAACACUGCCCACCUGAGUCAUCAAGAAAGGUUUAAGUACAUUAUCUGUGCUCUGUUUAAUAUGUCCGUGAAGUGUGUCCUAAAUUUAGUUAUUUCUAGGACCUCUUUCUAGUUUGCAAGUAAGCCAGGUUCUACUGCUGUCAAGUGUUACUCAUGGCUAACUGAGGAAAAGGGGUUCAAAAACAUUGAGAAGACGAAAAGGAGGGAGAAGGCUGGGUUAAUGGGGACGGAGGUAAGGGGUGAGACCCCGGCUAAACAGUGAAGAUAAAAACAGACAUGUAAAUGAGAGAACCGGAAGAGAAGGUAAUGGUGAAAGUCAAUACGGGAAGGAAAGGGGUUGUAGGGGACAAACACUGAGAGGGCAAGAACUUGGAGUAGGUGAAACUAAGGUGAGCGAGGAGGCUGAAGAGAGGUCAGCUGCAGCGGGAAAGAGGGAAGGGCCCUUUAAGAGACACAUCAAGCCGCAGGUGUGGGCCACGAGGCUGGCGCAGGGCUGUCGCUUCACGCGCCGCAGACUCAUCCAGAAGCGCCUUGGGAGCUGCGGAGCCCUAGAGCCUCCAUCCGGGCAGCAAAGCAGCUCACGUGUCCCACCCGGGAAGGGCAGGAGUGGGCGAGGAAUGGUGGAGGGAAAGGAGGGAAAGCGGAGAAACAGGAGGGAGGGGGAAAGCUGCCGCUGCAGAAAAGAAACGAGUAAGCCCCUUUGUGCUUGGCCUGCGAGGUGUUUCCUUCCCGAGCAGACUUGAAGCUGUCACCUCUCAGUCUGGGUUUGGAAUAAAUACACUCGCCCACCGAGAGAUGAGGCGGCGCCUGGCCGCACCUGGGAGGUACCUGGUCGCACCUGGAAGUGCCUGGUCUCCCCUGGCAGGUACCUGGCCGCUCCUUUCCUGGAGCCAUGGGCACGGGCCCCUCCCGGACUUUCUACUGCUCUGCAGGAGGAUCCGAUGACUGUGACCGACUGGGACACCGACCCAGGAAUGCCUGGCGGGGUGGAGGGUCUGGAGACUGCAAUUGAGGUACUCAAGAGAGGGCUGCCGGCGUGAGGAGCAGCAAUGUCCACGGAAUCGGCCAUAAAGGAUCAAAGGGGCCAGGCAGGCCCCUCUUUCUGGUUUUCUCCUCCGAACAUUGGUCUCUGCGGUUUUCUUGGCCACAUUUUCCAGCCGGCUGGCUAGUAGCAGACAGAUCAUGAGCAGAACAGGUCGCACCACUGGAGAGAACUCACGUGCUGGCUAGGGAGGGCACCUGAGGCCCGGUGGGGAUCGGGGAGGGGGGUCCUGGAGGUUAUUCCCUCCUUAGGGAAGUUUCCCAAAGCUGGGGAAGCUGUGGCCUUGUACCUCACUGAAUGGUGUCAUAUUCCACUCCAUCACUGCAGCCUGGAUUCUCCUCUCCUCUCGUCCCCCCUCCCCUUCUCUCAGCUUCUCUCUUCUCUCUUUCUCUCUUGUUCUUCUUUCUGGGCCACAUCUGAGACUUCUCUUGGGCCCACGGAUGUUACCCAGUAUACAGAGCACUUAAUAUAAAGGGCAUCACUAAAGCCACCUCAAUUGAAGGUUUCUUUCCUCAGGCAUCUUGGAUGACUUUCUUCUGUUACACUAAGUCUCCUCACUGCCAAACUCCAUCCCAAGCCUGUGGGUUAAAAAUGCACAAUUUACAGCUGUUUAAAGCAACUUCUCCGUUGGAACUGCUGAUAAUACAUUGCACAGUUCUAAAAUAAUGGAGCUGACGUUCCAAGCUCCCUAGAAAAACCACUUCAUCACUUCAGUUACACAUCAACAGUGAAGUAAUGGUCCAAUCUUGUUUCACUCAAAUAUCUAAGCAUGGAUUGAAUGCCCUUUCCAUGUACCCCCAGUUGUCACCCUUCUUUGUGGCUCUUUGGGCUGGGUUUCCUGAAGCUGGGGGAAGGCAUGGGCAGUUGGUGUCGUCCCUGCUUCUACCUCUGUCUGCCUCUUGGAAGCUUUGGAAACCAAGGGUUUUGGGUUGCCUGAGUUGCCUGGAUCCACCAAGCACUUUCUGAGCUCAUUCUUUUUUUUUCUUUUUUUUUUUUUUUUUUUUUUUUUUUGAGACGGAGUUUCACUCUUGUUGCCCAGGCUGGAGUGCAACAGUGCGUUCUUGGCUCACCGCAACCUCCGCCUCUGGGGUUCAAGGGAUUCUCCUGCCUCAGUCUCCUGAGUAGCUGGGAUUACAGGCAUGCACCACCACACUUGGCUAAUUUUGUAUUUUUAAUAGAGAUGGGGUUUCUCCAUGUUGAUCAGGCUGGUCUUGAACUCCCGACCUCAGAUAAUCCGCCUGCCUCGCCCUCCCAAAGUGCUGGGAUUACAGGCAUGAGCCACCGCGCCCGGCCCCUGAGCUCCAUUCUUAUAGAUCUCUUCUUCCUUUUAGUUCUUGCUCUGUUUCCUUCUUGCUCAUAGGGUCUCCUGGCCCUUCCUUUACUCUAAUUCCACUUAUUUUAGCAACUCUGUAGCCUGCUUUCUGGAACAACUACACAAGGGAGUUAUCUUAUCUUCUCACAGCUCCAGUCCCUGGCCUUGGCAAUACUGGGCUUACCUGGAUGCUGCAGGGCCCAACCCUGUCACCACAUUACCUUGACCUACAGUGUCUAGCAGGCUCCCGGAAGCUAGCAUCCUCUGUUGCCAAGUCCCAGCUGGGUUCUGCUUAUAAAUGAACAUGCUUAAGAAGUUGAGUCUAUUUGCUAUUCCAGAGACACAGCCUAAUUUCCACCUUAGUCUCAGUUUCUACUCAGGAUACUGCCACUCUGAAGGAAGGCUGUGGAGCUGAGCUCCCAAAAUGACUGUCUUUAGAUAAUAGAGUGCCUUGUAGACUCCCAGAGCUUGACUUGACCUUAGACAUCCUCUAGUCCAGUGGUUCCCAAAGGACAUGCGGAGGAUUAAUAGAGCUGAAACAUGACAGUGAGAGGAAACCAACAGUGUUUCCGAGCAUCUGUAACAUUCAGGAUAGGUAGACCAGGAAAAUGGUUCCAUGCCCAGCUGAUCAUCAGGGUCACAGGGGAGCUGGGUUGCCAAGUUUCUGCUCAGUGUACCUUUCCCUUCUCUACUGAGGUUCUGUGAAAUGUUUUGUUUUGUUUUGUUUUGUUUUUGAGAAGGAAUCUCUGUCUUGUUGCUCAGGCUGGAGUGCAGUGGUACAAUCUCGGCUCACUGCAACCUCCACCUCCCAGGUUCAUGCGAUUCUGCUACCUCAGCCUCCUGAGUAGCUGGGAUUACAGGCGCCCGCCACCAUGCCCAGCUAAUUUUUCUCCUUUUAGUAGAGACGGGGUUUUGCCAUGUUGGCCAGGCUGGUCUCGAACUCCUGACCUCAGGUGAUCCUCCUGCCUCGGCCUCCCAAAGUGCUGGGAUUACAUGCAUGAGCCACCGUGCCUGGCCUCUAAAAUGUUAAUUAUUUCUUCAAAUUCUUUGUUCACUUGUUCUUCUGAAAUUUUCUAUCCUCCCUACUACUUUUUUGGUGGUUUUCUCCUUCCUCUUCACUUACUCUAUUUCCUAAAAUUCUCUACUUUAUAUUUACCAUGUAUCUUCAUAUUUAUUCUCACUGAUGCUAUCUUCUAAAGAACAUACCAUCCAGAUAAGUUCUCCCUCUCUCCCAUGCUCAAUUGGCACACAAUGGCAUGUCUAUGAAUGUACACAUGUAAUAGGAUGUUUAAUACCAGUCUUCCUGAGGUCUACUGUUUCCACCAAAUCCCUAAAGAUAGAGAACAAUGGAAUAGAUGUCAUGUCCCGCAUAUACUAGAAGGUGUUGAACCACAUGCAAAAUACCUCACGAGCUUAAGAAAUCAGUGUUGCUGCAGUUAGUCCAUCACUUGCCAUUGUCCCACGGAAGGAGUCAUCCAUAUGCUUAGAGUUUUGAUGCUGAUAUGGUUUGGCUGUGUCCCCACCAAAUCUCAACUUGAAUUGUGUCUCCCAGAAUUCCCACAUGUUGUGGGAGGGACCCAGGGGGAGGUAAUUAAAUCAUGGGGCCAGUCUUUCCUGUGCGAUUCUCAUGAUAGUGAAUAAGUCUCAUGAGAUCUGAUGGGUUUAUCAGGGGUUUCCACUUUUGCUUCUUCCUCAUUUACUCUUGCUGCCACCAUGUAAGAAGUGCCUUUCGCCUCCCGCCAUGAUUCUGAGGCCUCCCCAGCCAUGUGGAACUGUAAGUCCAAUUAAACCUUUUUGUUACCAGUUUUGGGUAUGUCUUUAUCAGCAGGGUGAAAACGGACUAAUACAGUAAAUUGGUACCAGUAGAGUGGGACACUGCUGAAAAGAUACCCGAAAAUGUGGAAGUGACUUUGGAACUGGGUAACAGGCAGAGGUUGGAACAGUUUGGAGGGCUCAGAGGAAGACAGGAAAAUGUGGGAAAGUUUGGGAAUUUCCUAGAGACUUGCUGAAUGGCUUUGCCUAAAAUGCUGAUAGUGAUAUGGACAAUAAGAUCCAGGCUGAGGUGGUCUCAGAUGGAGUGAGGAACUUCUUGGUAACUGGAGUAAAGGUGACUCUUGUUAUGUUUUAGCAAAGAGACUGCUAAAGCUAGAGCAUUUUGCCCCUGCCCUAGAGAUUUGUGGAAUUUUGAACUUGAGAAAGAUGAUUUAGGGUGUCUGGCAGAAGAAGUUUCUAAGCAGCAAAGCAUUCAAGAGGUGACUUGGGUACUGUUAAAGGUGUUCAGUUUUGUAAGGGAAGCAGAGCAUUAAAGUUCAGAAAAUUUGCAGCCUGACUAAGUGAUAAAAAAGGAAAACCCAUUUUCUGGGGAGAAAUUCAAGCGGGCUGCAGAAAUUUGCAUAAGUAGCAAGGAGCAUCAUGUUAAUGCCCAAGAUCAUGGGGAAAAUGUCUCUAGGCCAUGUCAGACCUUCACGGCAGCCCUUCCCAUCAUAGGCCCAGAGGCCCAGGAGCAAAAAAUGGUUUCGUGGGCCAGAUCCAGUGUGCCUGUGCUGUGUGCAACCUAGGGACUUGGUGCCCUGUGUCCCAGCUGCUUCAGCCAUGGCUGAAAGGGGCCAACAUACAGCUUGGGCUGUGGCCUCAGAGAAUGGAAGCUCCAAGCCUUGGCAGCUUCCAUGUGGUGUUGAGCCUGUGGGUGCACAGAAGUCAAUAAUUGAGAUUUGGGCCAGGCGCGGUGGCGCAUGCCUGUAAUCCCAGCACUUUGGGAGGCUGAGGCAGGAGGAUCACCUGAGGUCAGGAGUCAAG